GUGAAUGAAGGUGAAAAUGGAAACCGUUUUGCCGAAAUGAUGAAGAAAGACCUUCCACAGGUGAGUCUGAUCUUUUUGGUUAUGAAUGGCAUAUAAUUUUUAUAUGUACAGGAAGAACAAUAUGUUAGUCAAGGUCUUUUUUUUUAUAUAAAUAAGUUUACAACAUUUCAUUAUCAAUAAUGAUGGUAAUACAUGUGGGAAUAUCAAUCACAAUCAUAUUUUCCAACCACAAAACUAAUGGUUCUCUUGGGUCAAUUAUUUAUAAAAUAUAAAACUAGUGAUAUAGGCCAGAAUUGUGACAUAAACUGAAAAAGGUUCCAAGUUCCAAUUGUGACUUAAACUGAAAAAAGUUCCAAGUUUAGUUUCUUUUGCAUUUCUUUUAAAGGGUAUAAAAACCCUAUGAGAAAGUGAAUCACUGUGUGACGGAAUCUUUUUUCAUUAUCUGAAAAAGGGGUGGAGUAUAUUGCCCUAAUAACCCUAAAUUUGACCGUUGGAAUCGAUGAAUAUACUGUGUUAUAAAUUUUGUAACGGAUAGAUCAUAGAUGUCUCAAUGACCAUAGAGUAAAAUGUUGGAUGAAUUUAAUGACCCUAGUCCCGGAAUGUGAAAGCUAGUUGUUGCCUUAAUUGCUACUCAAGCAAUUGUCUCUAUCAAUGUCCGCUUUACUAUUAAAAAAAGAUAUGAAUUUUUAUUCGUAAUAAUGCAUGAAUGGUUAUAUAUUCAGCUUUAAUGACCCUUAGUCCCUUAAUUCUAUUCUGCAACUGCAAUUAGAAGUGAUUUUGCAUUAUGAACAAAACAUUCAAUCUUCUGCUUCAUAAAAACAAAACAAAAGAACCUUAAUUGAGCAAAGGUGUUCUUUCUGUCCCAUGACCAUUUUGUUUGUUACGGUAAAUUUUGAAACUUUCAUUUCAAUAUAUUUGCAUUCAUGAAUCAUAUGUGUUCCAUUUUUUCAUUUUUUUAUUUUGUCGAGAACAUUCAAUCUUCUGCUUGAAAAAGAGGUAAAACUUUACCCAUUUUUCUCGUUCUUGAUCAUUCAAGAGCAUUCAAUCUUCUGCAUGAGAAAAAUAAAAAGAACCUUAAUUAUGCAAAAAGUGUUUUGUCCCAAGAUCAUGUUUGGUACCAAUAUUUUAAAAAAACAGUUUUUUGUUUGUUACGAUAAUGCAAUUUCACACGUUUUUGGAAUUUUCACUCCAAUAUAUUUGCCCCAUCUGGUUUAUAAUCAAUACCUAUUGGGAACGAUGAUGGGCUUCGAUAAAAACUUUUAAUCUUAUGCUUUGAUAAAAAGUAAAUGGAUGUCUUGAUGCCCAAAAAAUGUUGGAUAAAUUACUUAACGACCCUAGUCCCUGAAUGCGAAAGCUAGUUGUUGCCUUAAUUGCUACUGAAGCAAUUGUCUCUAUUUCAUAAGUUAUGUAAGGGACGGAUGCCACAAUGACCUUUAAGAAAAAUGCAUUAUGAAUUCUUUAUUCAUAAUGAAAAAGUUGGAUGGUGGCUUUCAAAGGAAAGACAUUUAAUAUGAAAUUUUAUUCAAAACGUGGAUGGUGUCUAUUGUCUUUUUUUUUUUGUUUUUUGGUACAAGGUGUCUAUUGACUUUUUAUGACCCUAAUUGUGAAACUGUCACUAGUGGUAUGGUAUACACGAGAUCGCUAACUCCAAAUUCGAUGAUAAGAUGAAUAUACUUUGUUCCAUGAUUUUUGUAAGGAUUUGUCUUGGUGGCCCAAAAAUGCUGGAUGAUGCCAUAUUGUGAAAGCUAGUUGUUGCCUUAAAUGCAAUUUUUAUAUAAAAUUUCAUUCAUAAUAUAAGGCAUGGAUAAUAUCUAUUGUGCUUUGAUGACCCUAGUCCCUAGAUGCAAUUUUCCAACUACAAUAUGAAGUGAUUUUGCAAAUGCAAAAGGAAGUGCUUCCUUGUGUUUGAUUAGCCUACUGAUAAGGGUUGGGUUUCAAAGGAAUUCUCAGGAACAAAUUACAAAGAAACGAACUGUUUGGAGUAAAAACUAUUUCUUAUAAUAUUGAUGGGGUAUGUAUGAGUGCAUCGCGUCCUAGAGGCUUUGCACAAAGAUAUUGUGAACCCCUUGUUUCAUCGAGGGAUGGUGACUUUGGAAGCAGUGCUGUGGGGCUGCCACAUGUUUUUUUACUUAAAGUUGCUGCUUUAGAGACUGUAAGGAGGUUCUCANNNNNNNNNNNAAGAGUAAAUGCCCAUGUGUGUGGCGAGGUCUACAGAGUCUACGAAUCCUUGUCCUACCACAAUUUAAAUGGAUUCAGAGGUGGGCUGCCUUCAGGGGUUUGGUCAAAAGAUUGCAGGUUUGUGAUUAUCAAUUCAAUAUGGUUUCGAUACAUAUUUAUGUUUAUNNNNNNNNNNNNNNNNNNNNNNNNNNNNNNNNNNNNNNNNAUUUCAAAGCAGAAAAAUAUGUUAUGUCAGGAAAACCAUUUGCUAUGAAAUUGAAUUAUAAUUAUUUUGGAGUAGCAUCAUUUAAAAUUCUUUAGAAAAUGGUUAUAUCAUGGGUAUUUGUGUACUUCUAGACAAUCAUUGUUCCAGAACGUUUUAUGUGGGUUACUAUUUUUAUUGAAUUUGUUGUAAAAUGAUUCUUUUUCUUCCUCAUUUUUAUUUUAUAUAGUAAAGUUUGACAUUCCCUUUAUUUUGACCAGUGAGAUUCUUUUUUCUUAAAAGGCUAUUCUUGUUUACAGUAUUAUUUCAUCUUUGGCUAUUAUAAGAUAUACAAUAUGAUAUUUCCUAGACCCUUUUCCUGUAAAGGUUAAGUAGUGGAGAACGGAAUUGAUUAACAAGCUCCCUCACUUUUCUGUCAAGUUGUUUCUGUUUUUUCUCCUUCUAUUAUCCCAAAUUCAGCUCUAUACAUGAAGCAGAUGGUUAAUACUCUCUCUGCUACCAGGUACUAUCAAGACCAUUAUUCAUCCUUUCCAUUGGAACAGUCUUUACUGAUGAACUGGAAUGUAGUGAUGGAACCUCAGAUCAUAUUACUAACUCUCGUGAUUCAGAAAUAUCUGCAGCAGAACCAUCUCCUGUGCAGGAUAAUAUGAAUAUUAGGUAUAUGAUUUGAGGCUUCUUACUAAGGUUUACAUGUGCAAUUUAUCCUUGUUGCGAUGUUAUUAUAAACACUUUACUUUUGAGGUUAGAAUGGCAUAAUUUUCUACGUAAGAUCUAUGAUGAGUAUAUUAACAUUUGCUUGUUAAAUUAUUAUUAACUUCUCGGCCCAUAAUUUCUAGACGGUUAUUUGCUUAAUUGAGGAUCAUUUGACAUUAACCUAUUGCCGAAUUGAUAAAGUUGGCUUUGCAAAUAACUGAUAUGCAACAACAAAACCAAACCGUGGACCAUCCCACAUUAUGCAGGUUCCUAUGUUUCUAAUUAUUUUACUCAGAUCCUUGUUUCUGAAAAUUUGGAGUGAUAUUAGAGUCGAUGGGAAAUUAUUAUUUUUAUGUUUGGAAGUUUUCUUUGGGUUCCUAUGUUUCUAAUUAUUUACUCAAAUCCCUGUUUCUUGAGAGUAAUCUAACUGAUUACAGAACCAGUUAGUUACUUGAGAGUUAAGUCCUGAACUAAACUCUGUAACAAAAAUUGGUAUUAUGUUACUCAACUCAUCAAUCGAUGCAAGUGCGACUCUGAAAACACAAUUUCAAUUAAGUGUAGUUAGGAGACUUCUCUAUUAAAUAUAGGCAUCAUUCCGUAGUUCUGAUAAUAAUCAGUUUAGCAAGUUAGUAGUCUGGCAAUCAUUGUAUACAAUAAUCCAUCCAUGAAAUUGUGCAAAAUCUAAGAUAAUUACUGUUUGAACCGCACUAAAUCAAUUUCUUUUCUACACUGUCUUUCUGAGAAUGAAACUUAGUGACUUAUUAAGUUAUUAUGAACUUAGUCACCCUAGUUCCUAAUGUUUCAUAAGUUUUUUAAGGGAUGGAUGCUUCAAUGACCUUAGAGUAAAAUGCAUUACGAACUCNNNNNNGACGAAAAAUAAUAAGGCACAAAUGUGAAAGUUGGAAUCGAUGAAUAUACUUUGUCUUGUAAAUUUUGUAACGGAUGGAUCAUAGAUGCCUCAGUUACCAUAGAGUAAAAUGUUGGAUGAACUGAUUGACCAUAGUCCCUGAUAUGAAAGUUAGUUGUUGCUUUAAUUGCUACUCAAGCAAUUGUCUCUAUCGGUGUCCGCUUUUCUAUUAAAAAAAUUAUGAAUUUUUAUUCAUAAUAAUGCAUGAAUGGAUAUAUAUUCUAUUUUUAUGACCCUUAGUCUCUAAAUGAAAGAUAGUUGUUACCUCAAUGACUACAGGGUAACAGAUGGAUGAGAUACUAGGGAUAAUGGAUAGAUCAUAGAUGUCUCGUUGACUAUAGAGUAAAAUGUUNNNNNNNNNNNNNNNNNNNNNNNNNNNNNNNNNNNNNNNNNNNNNNNNNNNNNNCUCAAUCGAAAAUGAAUUAUGAAUUCUUUAUUCAUAAUGGAAAAGUUGGAUGGAGGUUUUCAAAGCAAAGCAAUUUUAAUAUGAAAUUUUUUUCAAACCUUGGAUGGUGUCUAUUGCCUUUUAUGACCCUAAUUGUGAAACUGUCACUAGUGGUAUGGUUUACAUGAGAUGACUAACUCCAAAUUCGAUGGAUAUACUUUGUUCCUUGAUUUUUGUAAGUGAUUGUCUUGCUGG
rnacentral:lncRNA from 1 species